AUUUUUAAAACAAUGUUUAAAUGUAGAUAGACUAAACUUCACUUGUAUUUUUUUAUAUCCAACAUUGUUUGUUACAGUUUGUGAUAUUUUUGUUACAAUUUUAUUGAUCCCAUCAACUUGGAGGCCAUCUUACUUUUGAAAUGAAUAAUUUGUUGGCAGUAGUUCUGCAAGUGUGUCUGUACACCAAAUACCUGGUCCUUUAUUUUGCGUCCAUUUAUCAUUUAGAUGAUGAUGGUUUAGAUUUGUUAAGUUAAAUAAUAAAAACAAAUGUGAGAUUUUUUAAACUUAAAGAGUAUUCAGAGAUAGAAGAUUGAACCUAACCUUUAACAAUAUUGGGGGGGGGGGGG